AUGCUCACUUUAGUACCACAUAUACUAAAAUUGGAAUGAUACCGAGAAAAAUAAUAUGGUCCUAGCAAAGGUGACAUGCAAAUUCAUGAAACAUUCAAUGCUUUA